GAUGAAGAACGUAGCGAAAUGCGAUACUUGGUGUGAAUUGCAGAAUCCCGUGAACCAUCGAGUCUUUGAACGCAAGUUGCGCCUCAAGCCAUUAGGUUGAGGGCACGUCUGCCUGGGCGUCACAUAUCGUUGCCUGAUGCCAGUUUCCUCGUGAUGGGUGACUGUGCAGGGCGAAUGAUGGCUUCCCGUGAGCAUUGUUGCCUCAUGGUUGGUUGAAAAUUGAGUCCUUGGUAGGGAGCGCCGUGAUAGAUGGUGGUUGAGUGACGAACGAGACCCAAUCAUGUGAGACCCCUACCGAAUUUGGCCUUCAUGACCCACACGCGUCUUUGGAACGCUCAUGACGAGACCUCAGGUCAGGCGGGGCUACCCGCUGAGUUUAAGCAUAUCAAUAAGCGGAGGA
rnacentral:misc_RNA from 1 species